rnacentral:lncRNA from 1 species
GGCAUUUUGCAAGAUCAUCUGAGGAACAGGAAAGCAUUUGAAAUCAACUGAAGGAUAACUGUAGCGGUUUUCACCGGGGAAGGAGCUAUAUUGGCACAGAGGCAGAUGACUGAAUAAAGUAGUUGGCUCUGAGAAGAUGCACAGUCCGCUGCUUUUCCUCUGAAUGAAGACUGUUUAAUGGAAGCUGUAUUCAUGUAGAGAUCAAAGGAAAUACUACAGUGAUAAACUACCUUCUUCCCUUCUCCUUUUAAAAUGAAAACCCUGAAGCAGUAAUUGGAGCUCAAAGGUCUUCAGGUUCUUUUGCUGUCUGCUUGUUCUAUUAAGAUUCUCCACUGACACCAUUUCUGCCUGGUGCCUGUGCCUUUCUUGCUGGGCUGCUAGAAACAACUGCCUGAUGGAGAAAGAAUGAAAGCUUUGCCUUGCCUGUUACUGAUGGGAUAAAGCUAGCUCUGUUUCGCCUAUUAUUGGGAAGUCUGGAUUAAUCAACUUGUAUUCUCGUACCAGUAGUCCUAUUGUCUCUUGCGAUCUGACUCAUCACAUGUUAAUGUGCUGCAGCUUUGCUGUUAAUGCAGAUGGUGGUUUGUUCUCCUUCUGUCUUCUUCUUCUCUUUCUUUCCUAAACACGGAAAGAGCUGACAACGUCUGAGCUUCGUUUUCAGAAUUUAGGCUAAAUUUUAUGUAUUUUUGUUUGUUUGUUCCCUGAAUAAUAUCUGUAUUAAGUCAGUGAAGCUGAAGAAAUGAAGACCAAUUAGAAGUGGAAACAGAAUAGUGAGAUUCUGGUUUUAAUUUUCAGCUACAGACCGCCCAGCCUUCUGGUAACUAUAUGACCUUGCCGACGAGAGUGGGGGUAUCUGCUGCUACCUCUGUGACAGCAGCUGCUUCUCAUUUCAUUUGUUAUGGUGUGAUGGUGUGUCACCCAAAACAAUGAUUGUUUUGUACAAGUAAAUUUCAGAGCUCAAUGUAACUAUUUUGGUGGAAGAAAAUAUUUUUUAAAAGAAUAGUCCUAGACGGAGUUUUAAUUAUUGACACGCUGAUGUGAACCUUUUUAUAGAUUGUAGUAACCUGCAGAAAGAAGUAGGUUUUUAUUUUUAGGAAGUUAUGUACCAUAAUUUUAAACUUAAGUUUCUCUAAUAUUACUAACUAUAAAACCAGCGGCACUGUUCAGAGAAUGUUUAUAAGUGGUGUACAGAAGAGGAGGAAAAACUGCUUGUGCUCGUCCCACUGUGACUUUUAUCACAUAGCUUGGAGUUUAAUGUUUUAAAAGAGCGAAUGAGUCGAGUGUGUAUUGUUGUUUUGGAGGAGGUAGAAGAUGAUUCUCCUGUAUUCAUUUCUAAGUUGCCCCAGGAAAGUACAUGUCUACAACCUCCACCUUCUGGAAAUGUGUUGGUAAGCUAUGAGAGUUUCUGUUGUUUGUACUUUAUAGAACUAGGCAUGUAACUGUAACUUUAUAAGCACACACUGAGUUAGUGUCUACUAGUUUCAUUAGUGUCACUGGUUUCAUACUCCAGGCAGUGUGUGGGUCUGUAGGAUGCAGUAUUAUUUACGUGUAAAAUUAGCGCAUUUCUGAGUUUUUCUUUUUCAAAUGCUUAGGUUCCACUUUAAAUUUUAUUGUCUGUUCAUCUUCUUACGGGGUCUUCAAAAUAAGCUAAGAAAUAGUGAAAUCAUUAUGAAAAAUGCUCUUGUUUUCAUUUGGUUUUAGAACUAAUCUGACAAGAAUCAGGGACUCUGCAUAUUUUUCAAAAAGUUUACUACCAGCAACAUCAAGGCAUAGCCUUUUGUGUAAAGAAUUUUACCUAUUUGCAUGCAAGACUUUAUAUUGCGAAGAAUCAGGCUAUAUCCUUAAUCUUAUUUUUAACACUGUUGUCGACUAACUCCAUAUUUGAGUGGUAAAACAUGAUACCUUCAGAGGCUCUGCUGUUAAUGAGGGAAUUAUGUUUAGACAUACAUAUGCUUGUCUUCUCAUGUUAUUUAGAUGUAUACUUUUUUUUUUUUUUUUUGGUCUUUGAAAAGUAGUUAUUUUUUAUCAGUUGCCAAGUUUCCUCUCUGGGAUUUCUGUCAUUUUAUAUAUAUAUAGAAUAAAAACCACAUGCAUGUGAUUAUCAUGACCUGAAUAGACCUUUUUUCAAGUCUCCUUUCAUAGCUCUCACUGGGCUAGGGAUUGCUUAUUUGACUUGUUUUAUUCCAUUAAUAGAUUUGAAUUAUCCAACUUAUAUUUGUAUGUCUUUUCAUCAUUUAUAAGCAAAAGGCUUUUACUUAAGAAAUAAAAUGAGCGUAUUACUUAGUUUUGGUCAAAUUGCAUUUGAAUAGAUUAGGUAGGCUUUUUUUUAUGGCUCCCACCCAGGAUGAACCCUAUACUUUGAUAUGAUUAGGCUGUAUGAAAUAUAUAGUUCAUAUUCCAUACCCCUCAAAAAUAUUACGGCUGCAGGGAAGAAAAAAGCCACUAGGUUGGAAGUCCUGCAGAAAUGUCUUUACAUCUAUGCUGAAUGAUGUGAUUGACGCUUGUUUCUUUUCUUUCUUUCUUUCUUUUUAUUUUCAUUUCUUUUAGCCAUCACUGGUGCAAGCUAUAUUUAAUGGUGAUCCAGAUGAAGUCCGAGCACUAAUAUUUAAGAAAGAAGAUGUUAACUUUCAGGUAAAGCAAUUGAUUCACUUACACCAACCUUUUUAUCCUCCUUUUAAAAACC